CUCUUCAGAAUGGCUGCACCAAAUUGACAUAAGAAUUCUGCUGUGAUGGAGCCUUUGAAUUCAUUGCCUUUGUACCAAGGCCACUCCUGGAUGCUUCCAACAGGACUGACAUGUUUUUUAGGGGCUGCCAACCCAUGACAUGCAUCUCUGUGUUAGAGCCUGGGACAGAUAAUGGCUGCAACCAAACUCAC